GGGCCAGCUCCCCGGCUGACCCCAGUAGGCACCCCGUCCCCUAGUACCCACCAAGGCAAGGGAGCCCAGGCCCAUCCCGAUCGGGGCCCACAGCAGCAGCACCGCUAAGCCCCACAGGACCUGGGGAAGCCCACCCCACCCCACCGCAGAGGAAACUAUACCCACCCCAACAUUCAAUCAUCUCCAGACUACACAAGACAACAGACACCCAGGUUAGGUUUAUUCUCCACCUCUCCUGUGUCUCUCCCCCACCUGCAGAGUGGACUUCUGCAAGGAUGGAACAACCUCCCUGCCAGUUGAAGAGUCCCCCAGUUAGGUCGAUGCACCAGAGGCACCCUGCGCCAGGGCUGAGCCCCCAAACUGAUGUUUGUAUUAAGAAAAUUGUGUUUUAUUGGCUGUGUUUGAUUAAGGUAUCACUUAUAUUGUUGGGAAUGUCAAAUGCUACAGUGGAGAACGCGUUUGAUUUUACUCAUGACUGGAAUAUGUUACUAAUAACCAUAGCAGGCCACUGUGAAAGCCAAUUAACUUUUACAGAGGAGAAAGCCAAAAACUUUAACAAUAUCUAUGAAUAGCAGGGGAAUGGUAGACUUGUCACAAUAAAAAUAGAGAUAUGUAAUAACAAACACUGGUCCACGUGAUUUAGGUUCUCCCUUGAAAUAGUCAGUAAUUUAAAAAGUAGAGUAUAACCGACAGGGGCAUCUGAUAGGAUGUGGUACUGCACAAGAACAAGAGCAAGCUAAAGAAAGAGAAAACUAUUGUGUUUAGUUUUGAUAAAUUCGAAUUAUAAUGUACCAUUACACUCAGAGGAUCAAUAUGAAAUCAAAUGUAUGCAAAUUUUGUAUGAAGUACAUGGCUGAUAAUUGUUCAGUCCUGAGCUUUUGUUUUUACAGCACCGACUUGACCACACCAACAGUUUUACGCCACCAAAGGAGGGUAAUUGCAAAUAUUUGAGGGAAGAAUAUCACAGAAAGUGGGAAAGGUAAGCCCCGAUGGGGGUGAUAACACCAUUAAUUCCACUUUUGGUCAAAUUCUUAAAAUUUGACACCAAACAUGAAAAAUUCUUCAAACAUUUAGAGACAGAACGGAGUUCUGGAUAAACAUAAUUUGGCAAACCACAUAAGGAUGGAGGGUUUGAAUCUAUAAUAUUUUGAAAUAAUACUCAAUAUAAUGCUGACUAUGUUGAUUAUGUUUAUUCUAGUAUGGAAGGGUUGGCUAAUCUGACCAGGAAAUGUAAUAAACAGGAAUGUCAGAACAGUCAGCGUUAACGUCACCUUUGACAGUCCAGACUAGGAUGGCGUUGGACAUCCUCAGGGUGGAAAAGGGCUGGUGUGACCAAGAUGUGGUUCCUCGGCCACUUUGGCUGUGAGAUCAUCAUUUGGGUUAAACAACAAUCUAUAGUAAUGUUUUGCACUGUUUCUUUAUGUACAAAGUUUCUGGAAAGACCCAAACUAUGUACAAACUGAGAUUUUCCUGUGGACUACAGAUUCUCCCGAAGUCACUUUUAAGUCGGCAGAACAGAUACAGAGGGAAGGGAGCAAGGGCUUGAAGGAAAUACAUUAUUCUAAUUGGAUUCCAGCUGUUGGUUAUCUUACUCCUUCUCGAAAUAUUUGUUGCCUGUUUGGACAAAUAUUUGUAGGUUUUGAAGAAUCCUGUAUUUGUGUGAUUGAAAACACAAUGCAAUCUUUUUUAGAGGCUGUGGGUAAAACAAUGUGUGUUGAGUCCAGACUCUGUGACGCACUAAGCAGACGAAACGUUAGCACUUCCUGUGACGAUGAAUAAGAUGUUUGAUAUUCUUGAAAGUUUUCUUACUUGUCCUUUUCCAUUUCCCAGAAAGAAACUGUCCACUGGAAUUUCUUGUGUUUAUUUAAUGUAUUGAUUGAUUUAUUGUGCAUGAGUGUAUUAUUGUCUUUUUGUUCCACGUGUUUUGGCACUGAUUUAUGGUUGUAUUUUCACAUCUGUCGUUUCAAAGUUUCAAAGAAAAAGUUUGGGUCUCCAAAACCUGGAAAUUCUACUUUUAAUUUUGUAAAAGAAAAGAAAAACAAUUCUACAACAAUUCUGGGACUCUCGGCCAUUUGACCUUAGAACUGAAGAAGCUUCUCGGAUGAGAGGUGAAACGUCUUCAAGCAACUCAAGGAAGUCCAGACGCUUUUCUUUGCAAACCCCUUUGACUAAUUCUACAAAGUUUUGUUAGGCGUCUGACAGAUCAUUUUUCUCUCUCUCUGAUGUAACAAAUGGAAAGUUCUCUUAACGUCAGCAUACCUGUUCUCAGUGGCACAGACUGAGGCCUAUCAGAGGAGGAGACUUGGCUGAUUUCCACAUUGAAAUUCUACCUUCUGUACAAGCACUGUGGGAGCGACAUUGAGUAAAAGAUAAUCUGGCAAAGGAUCAAGAAUCUCAAGUGUCAACAAACCAGUUUUUUCUUAGUUGAGCAGAGCUGAUGGCAGUGAAACACUGAAACAUUUCUGAUUUCGCUUUGUGAUGUCGGAGGAGAAGCUGAAGUCCAGACAACACCAGAGGGUUUUCUGGCCGUGCCAAAAUGAGGCCCUGUGAUGGAUGCCAUCUUGGAAGCAUCACAGAUCAGCACAUACCUGAGACUGGAGCGACCAGCUGCUCUAGUUUCACAGAGCGCCUCAUCAGUGCAGACUUCAGCCAUCACCACAAACCUACAAAGUGAGACCCAUGUAACAACUUACAUGGGUGGCUGUAGCUCAGGUGGCAGAGCAGGUCAGCCACUAAUCAAAAGUGAUAACCUUCAGAUUGAUGCGGCGGAGUUUUCCACGAUUCUUUAUCUGCUGAUGAAUCACAACCAGGACCCGUUAAACUUUAAAUUGGAGAAUAAAAUCAUCAAAAAUGCUUGCAUGAGAACCAACAGUAAGGGACUGGACGUAAAAUUCUAGACUCCACCCUCAGCAUUAAAGUUAUGACAUUAUCAGCCGGAGAAUAGUCACGAAUCCUAGGAAGGUGUUCCCUCGAUGGAAAACCUUGGAUCCAAAAUGAAGUUAUUGGACCACAAUUCUUCCAACUCACCUGCAUCGAAGUCAUGCUAAUGAUUUCCAUUAACAGCUGGCUGCUGUUGGUUACUUUAUUUGGAAUUCCCAAUAAGAAUUUUGUUUCCUUCCAUAUUUUUACCUUUUUGUUUCAAUGAUGUGAUUAUUUUUCUUCAUAAAGUCUUUUUUCCAGUGAAGAAUAUCCAUUGACUUAUACACACACAUGAUAUAUACACACACGUUUGCUUACCACAGGAGUGCACAAAGCAAGUUUGGUAUAGCCAGUGUGAUAGUUGGCUCAAAAUAAGCCAUAACCGUUCAGUUCUAAAAUGUAAAACGUUGACCUAAUAGACGCUUUCAACUGCUCCUUUAUUUCCACAGAAGUCCCAAAAUAGAUGGGUCCACAUCACUUGGCACAGAAUUUAUGGUGCAACCUCCCAUUUGUCUGGGCUUAAAGUCCACAAACCUGGCUUAAUGUUUCAUUCACUAUGACCUUGAGCAAACAGCCCAUUAACUCUCCAGGAAACAAUUUACAGAGGUCAAGGCAGACAGAUAUUUACGCAGGAGCUUAUGUUUUUUUUUUUUUUUUUUGCAACCAUAACUAUCGCCCCCUGGUGGCAAGCAAGAAAAACUAUAGGUUUAGGGCACUUUGCAUUGGCUUCACCUUUCAGACCUGGAGUUUGAAAAGAGACUAAAGAGGACAUUUAAAGCACCAGCUGAGUCUCCAUCAGCACAAAAAGAAACUAUUGAUUGCCCCCACUUCAGUCAGAGACGUCACAGAGAAGCUUGCAGUGAAAGGAAACACUGCAAAUACCUGAACUCUGUUACUCAUGUGAAUUCAGGUGUUAACCUAUUUGUUUUGUGAAAUUACAUACAAUUCGUUAUGAUCUUGGGGGAUAAAAAUCCUACAAGUAAUAUUUUUUUUCUCAUUUGUGCUCUGUUAGCUGAAAUUCCAGCAAUAAACACAUUUAGCAGGUAAUCAGCAGUGAUGAAAAGAUGCAAGUGUUGCACUCGACAACCCAUUAAUGUGGCCUUGUGGCACACCCGUAUGCUGCCACCAUCUUUACAUCAUCAAACACUUCAAAACAAAUGCUGGGCACAAAAUUUCAACUGUGGAAAUCUAAUGUGCAUUUUUUGUAUCUGUAAAAGUAUAGACUGAACUGAAGAAAUUAUCGACGGUGGGACUGAGUAUGUGUGUUGUGCAUCACAAUGUUUUGUUCAAUUUUGAUAACACCAGUAAGUUUUUCUUAUGGUAGCGUUUUUUAAAAACAUUUUUUUUUAACUCUUUCUCUCCUUUGAAAUUUGUAAUUUUUUAAACCUAAGUAAGCUAUGAGAGCAGUUGUAUGAGCUGCAGUUUUUGUUUUCUGUUAUUCAACUGAAUGAAAGAGUUUUUUGAUUAAAGUAAGACAUGUUUUCAACAGUAGAUGAGUCGAUGUGGACUUUUAACUGGACUGCUAGGAUGAGUCAGGAUGUUGGGUUAAAUUUGAUUUGGAAAAUAACUAAAGCUGUCAAAUAAUGUAAAGGAGUAAAAAAAAAUAUGGGUUUUAUAAAAAUAAGGUUCACUAUAAUCCAGUUUGCAUUUGUUCCAGGUUUGCUGUACUGCAACCUUAGAGAUCAUCAUGACUACAUUUGACUUGAUUCACAGAAAGUCUUAAUAAAGGAG
ensembl:lncRNA